CAUCUUUCUCUACAGGCAAGAAGAGGAAAAUAAUGCAUGAGUGACAGAGGAUUAAGUACAGUACUCAGCUUUGCCAAGCAGACCAGCUCCACUGUGCUAUGUACUCCAUCCCAAAUCUCCCGAUGUGGAAUGUCAUCCUCACAUGUCUUCUGACAUAAUGGGCCAGGGUUAUGCAAUGAAAAGUCAGUAGAAGUAGAGAAUGAAGAAAAGCAAGACAGGAUAAUGGCCACCUGGGGGCAACAUGAAGACAGG